CUAUUUUAAAGUUAGCAAUAGAAAAUAAAAAUUAAAUUACAAAAUAAAGUUACAAUCAUUAAUAUUGGAGUUCAAAAUUUUCAGAUGUUGUAACUUUUGGAGGUGAUGAAACAGUUUCCCAGCAUGGUAUUUACUUUAAACAAAUCACAAUGAAACAAAAAAUAAUUUUAGACAAAAAGCUUAUUUAUUCUAGGUCAAUGUAUAACCUCUGCCUGUUUAUCCAGCAAUUUCCACUUGAAAGAUGUCAUGUUACUUUUCAAUCCCUUUUCCAAGAGAUGGAAAUAAUCAUUCCUAUAGUCCAGAGCAGUGAUCAGUGAACAUUUCAGCAAAGGACCUCAUAGCAAAUGUUUUAGUAAAUAUUUUAGGCUUUAUAGAUCAUAUGAUCUCUGCUGCAACUAUUCCAGUAUGCACUGUAAUGUGAAAGCAGAAAAAACAGUAUGUAAAUGAAUGGCAUGGCUGUCUUCCAAUAACACUCUCUACAUUUACUAAAAUUUGAAUUUUACAUAAUUUUCAUGAGUCACAAAAUAUUAUUCAUUUUUUCAACCAUUUAAAAGUAUGUAACAACUAUUCUUGGCUCAUAGAUAGUAUAAAACCGGGUGGUGGGCCAGAUUUGGUCCCCAGGCUGUAGCUUGCUAACCUCUGAUUUCAGAACACCUCAUUUCCAGUGUCAAGACAUGUGGAAUACCAAGUUACUUAUAAAUACUAAAAAUUUUUUUAAUUAUAUCAUCAAGUUGUUAGGGAAGUGGUUUGGCAAAUGGAGAUUCAGAACAAGGGGAACUGCAUUAUUUGAAAAAACACCUCAUCUAAAAGCAGGGAACUUAUCCAUAUCCCACAAAAAAAAGCGUAUCACAUGGAAACUGAGAAUUAAAUACCUUUUGUUGUUGUUGUUCUUGUUAAUUAAAUACCUUUUUGCACUCGUGAAAUGUUCUUGUUCAAAACCACAAAUCUGGAGACAGUUUAAAAUUCUAGUAGUGGUAAAUCAUACUCUUCAUUUUUGUUUGUUUUAGUUUUGUUUUGCUUUUUAAUUGGAGCAUAGCUGCUUUACAAUAUUGUGUUAGUUUCUGCUGUGCACCAGGUGAACCAGCUAUAGGUAUAUGAAUAUCCCCUCUUUUUUGGAUUUCUUCCCCAUUUAGGUCAACGCAGAGCACUGAGUAGAGUUCCCUGUGCUAUACAGUUGGUACUCAUUAGUUGCUUAUUUUAUACAUAAUAGUGUGUAUGUGUCUAUCCCAGUCUCCCAAUUCAUCCCACCCCACUUCCUCCGCCACUUGGUAUCCAUACACUUGUUCUCUAUGUCUGCGUCUCUACUUCUGCUUUGCAAACAGGUUGAGGUAAGUUAGAAAGAGAAAAACAAAUAUUUUAUAUUAACGCAUAUAUGUGAAAUCUAGAAAAAUGGUACAGAUGAACCCACUCCUCAUCAUUUUACCAGCUCUGACUUUGGCCAAUUGUUUUUAAUGAUAUUUCUGACCAUCUUAACUCCUGCUAACACACUAGAGGCAGAUUAUACCAGUAUUGUAAGACCAUUCCCCUUCAUAUGGACAACAUGGGUGUAUGCAUUCGGAGAUAUUUUUUCUUGAUGAUCUUACCCUUUUAAUAUAUUUCAAGGAAAACAUGAAAUAAUUUAUUAAAUAUGCUUUGGUUUUCUUUUUUCAAUUUCCUAAGCAAAC
rnacentral:lncRNA from 1 species